GACGAACGCUGGCGGCGUGCUUAACACAUGCAAGUCGAACGGAAAGGCCCUGCUUUUGUGCGGUGCUCGAGUGGCGAACGGGUGAGUAACACGUGAGUAACCUGCCCUUGACUUUGGGAUAACUUCAGGAAACUGGGGCUAAUACCGGAUAGGAGCUCCUGUUGCAUGGUGGGGGGUGGAAAGUUUCGGCGGUUGGGGAUGGACGCGCGGCUUAUGAGCUUGGUGGUGGGGUAGGGGCUUACCAAGGCUUUGGCGGGUAGCCGGCCUGAGAGGGUGACCGGCCACAUGGGGACUGAGAUACGGCCCAGACUCCUACGGGGGGCAGCAGUGGGGAAUAUUGCACAAUGGGCGGGAGCGUGAUGCAGCAGCGCCGCGUGCGGGAUGACGGCCUUCGGGUUAUAAACCGCUUUCGCCUGUGACGAAGCGUGAGUGACGGUAAUGGGUGAAGAAGCACCGGCUAACUACGUG
rnacentral:rRNA from 1 species